GAUGAACGCUGGCGGCGUGCUUAACACAUGCAAGUCGAACGACACCCCUUUUUUGAUUUCCUUUGGGACUGAUUAUUUUGUGACUGAGUGGCGGACGGGUGAGUAACUCCUGUGUAACCUGCCUUGUCCAGGGGGAUCACAGUUUGAAACCGCUGCCAAUCUCCCAUAAGCGCCCAGCAUCCCUUGAUGCUUUCUCGAAAUCUCCGGUGGUAUACGAUGUACCCGCGUUGGAUUAGCUAGUCGGUGCGGGGACGGCACACCAAGGCGACGAUCCAUAGCCGACAAGAGAGUGUGACCGGACACAUUGGGGCUGGGACGCAGCCGAAACUCCUACGGGAGGCAGCAGAGGGGAAUAUAGCACAAUGGGCGAAAGCAUGAAGCAGCGACGGCGCGUGAGCCAAGAAGUAGGUCGGGAAGUAAAGCUCGAUCAGCAGGGAAGGUAAUGACGGUACCUGACUAAGAAGCACCGGCUAACUACGUG
rnacentral:rRNA from 1 species